ACUUAAGAUGGGAGACUAUUUACAAGGAGUGGAACCCCAUCCUGGACAGGCUGAAUCCCCAUUUUUCCUUUCCACUGACUGUGGACAUCUUUGUCUUGUCUGGCUUAAGUUUCAUUUUGUUUGCCAUCAUAUAAUCCCAUUACUGAUGACAGGCACUGGUUCAGUACCAAGACAGCUUCUUUGGAUUAGAUGAGAUGAAGUUGGGUGACUCCAGAUCCAAAAUUCCAGAUCCUGUAGUGUUAUAUGAAUGGUACACCUCACUCUGCAUGACAUAAUUUUCACAAAAAGAAAAACAAAGCGGGAUAAACAAUUUGACCAGAAUAGAUGGUGACUUGGUUUCUAGAUAGAGUAGUUUUGUCUGGGAGAAAAUGAGAUUGCCACCCGAAAUGACUGGAAGAUUUUGAAAGAGGUUGCUUUAAUUUUGGGAUGAACUGAUGUUAGGUGGGAUAGAUUAGCUGUCUGGAUACAUUAGAAAUUAUUUGAUUCCAUCUUUGGAAACAACUGCUAAUAAAGAGUUAAGGAGCCUCAUAACUUUCACAUAAGUCACCUUUGGCUUACAUUAUUCACUUCCAAUUUUAAGUACAUUUUUUUUAAAAAAAUCCAACACCUAGCAUGUUUAAACAAGUACAUAAUCUUUGUAAAUGUGGGUACUGCCCUUACAGUUUUCAUACCAUUGGAAAGGUGUUGCUGUGCUUUUUCUCUCUGCUCUUCCAGCCCAUCAAACAGACAACAUUUGCUGGUUCUGAACUUGCAGUGAAGCAAUUUACAGGUUCACUUGACCUGGCCUCACCAAGUUUUAAGAUCUUUGGAAAAGUGAUUUUGUUCAAUCCUACCUCCAUCACUUAUAUGCAUGGUGAAUACUUGGGAAAGAGUCUUUUGGUGACUGAUUCCAGACUAUGGAAAUCAGUUUUAAGGGUGACUGAGUCAGCUGCUUUCUUUCUGUCAGAAAGCAUUUUUAAAAAUCUAAACAGCCCUUCACUUUUAACAGGUUAGGAUAGUGUGAAAGGUAUGCUGGUCCUUAACAUAAUAGGCUUUAAUGUGUUCUUAACUCAAGGCAAUCUUUUAAAGUGCAUAUUUGUUUAAUGCUUUUAAAUUCUGAUUUUCUAUUUAUUUUAUUAUAAGAUACAGUGUGAUCCACUUUGCAUCCCAUGUGGGAAAAGUGGGAUAUAAAUGGAAGAAAGAAAGGCAAAAGAAAAACAAGAUAGAGUCUUAUAAAAUUAUGAACAACAUGGAUAGAAAGGCCUCUCUGAAAAUGGUGAUGAUAAAGGUGGGGGUGGUUAUGUGAUAAGAACUGAGGGUCAUCCAAUGAGGUUCAUUA